GGCCCCGGUGGUACGGGCACCGGCUCGCCCGGCGGCGGCCCGGGGGGCGGCGCACCACCGUCCGGGACCGGCGCCGGGGCCU
rnacentral:tRNA from 1 species